rnacentral:rRNA from 1 species
UACGUAGGGACCAAGCGUUGUUCGGAUUUACUGGGCGUAAAGGGCGCGUAGGCGGCAAAUUAAGUCAUCUGUGAAAUCUCCGAGCUUAACUCGGAACGGUCAGGUGAUACUGAUCUGCUAGAGUGCGGAAGGGGCAAUCGGAAUUCUUGGUGUAGCGGUGAAAUGCGUAGAUAUCAAGAGGAACACCUGAGGUGAAGACGGGUUGCUGGGCCGACACUGACGCUGACAGCGCGAAAGCUAGGGGAGCAAACGGG